rnacentral:rRNA from 1 species
AUACGGGGGGUGCAAGCGUUGUCCGGAAUCAUUGGGCGUAAAGGGUUCGUAGGUGGAAUUAUAAGUCUGGUGUGAAAGCCCACAGCUCAACUGUGGAACUGCACUGGAUACUGUUUUUCUCGAGUUAUAGAGGGGUUUGUGGAAUUUCUGGUGUAGAGGUGAAAUUUGUAGAGAUCAGAAAGAACACCGGUGGCGAAGGCGACAAACUGGCUAUUAACUGACACUGAGGAACGAAAGCGUGGGGAGCGAACAGGAUUAGAUACCCUAGUAGUCC